CAACAGGUUUGGUCCUAGCCUUUUUGUUAGUUUGUAGUUAACUUACACAUGCAAGAAUCCCCGAACCGGUGAAAAUGCCCUCCAACUCACACCUCAGUGAUUAAGAGGAGCGGGUAUUAAGCACACGCUAUGUAGCUCAAAAUACCUUGCUUAACCACACCCCCAAGGGACACAGCAGUGAUAAAUAUUAAGCAAUGAACGAAAGUUUGACUAAGUUAAACUACACCAGAGUUGGUAAAUUUCGUGCCAGCCACCGCGGUCAUACGAAAAACCCAAAUUAACAAACCCCGGCGUAAAGCGUGUUUUAAGGUUUCCCCCCCCCCCCAUAAAGUUAAAUGUUAUCUAUGCCGUAAAAAGCUAUAGCUAUAACAAGCCCUACAACGAAAGUGACUUUAAUCCCCUUGAAUACACGAAAGCUAGGUCCCAAACUGGGAUUAGAUACCCCACUAUGCCUAGCCGUAAACCUAGAUAGUUACAUAACUAAACUAUUCGCCAGAGAACUACAAGCAACAGCUUAAAACUCAAAGGACUUGGCGGUGCUUUAUACCCCCUAGAGGAGCCUGUUCUAUAAUCGAUAAACCCCGCUUCACCUCACCACCCUUUGCCAACUCAGCCUGUAUACCGCCAUCUUCAGCAAACCCUAAAAAGGUACAACAGUAAGCUCAAUAAUCCCCAUAAAAACGUUAGGUCAAGGUGUAGCCUAUAGGGUGGAAAGCAAUGGGCUACAUUUUCUUCUUAAAGAACACCACGAAAGCCUUUAUGAAAACUAAAGGUCGAAGGCGGAUUUAGCAGUAAAUUAAGAAUAGAGAGCUUAAUUGAACACGGCAAUGAAGCACGCACACACCGCCCGUCACCCUCCUCAAUUACUUGAAAAUCCUGUGCCCAUAGAUAAACACAACACACCUACAAGUACUAGAGGAGAUAAGUCGUAACAAGGUAAGUAUACUGGAAAGUGUGCUUGGAAAAUC
rnacentral:ncRNA from 1 species